rnacentral:rRNA from 1 species
UACGGAGGGGACUAGCGUUGUUCGGAAUUACUGGGCGUAAAGCGCACGUAGGCGGAUUUGUUAGUUAGGGGUGAAAUCCCGAGGCUCAACCUCGGAACUGCCUUUGAUACUGCAAAUCUCGAGUCCGGAAGAGGUGAGUGGAAUUCCUAGUGUAGAGGUGAAAUUCGUAGAUAUUAGGAAGAACACCAGUGGCGAAGGCGGCUCACUGGUCCGGUACUGACGCUGAGGUGCGAAAGCGUGGGGAGCAA